rnacentral:rRNA from 1 species
GAUGAACGCUGGCGGCGUGCCUAAUACAUGCAAGUAGAACGCUGAAGCUUGGUGCUUGCACCGAGCGGAUGAGUUGCGAACGGGUGAGUAACGCGUAGGUAACCUGCCUCUUAGCGGGGGAUAACUAUUGGAAACGAUAGCUAAUACCGCAUAAAAGUCGACAUCGCAUGAUGUUGAUUUGAAAGGUGCAAUUGCAUCACUAAGAGAUGGACCUGCGUUGUAUUAGCUAGUUGGUGAGGUAACGGCUCACCAAGGCGACGAUACAUAGCCGACCUGAGAGGGUGAUCGGCCACACUGGGACUGAGACACGGCCCAGACUCCUACGGGAGGCAGCAGUAGGGAAUCUUCGGCAAUGGGGGCAACCCUGACCGAGCAACGCCGCGUGAGUGAAGAAGGUUUUCGGAUCGUAAAGCUCUAUUGUAAGAGAAGAACGAGUGUGAGAGU